rnacentral:rRNA from 1 species
CUACGGGUCGCUCCAGUGGGGAAUAUUGGACAAUGGGGGAAACCCUGAUCCAGCAAUGCCGCGUGUGUGAAGAAGGCCUGCGGGUUGUAAAGCACUUUCGGUUGGGAGGACUGCUUCUAGCACUAAUAUUGUUGGAAGUUGACGUUACCUUCAGAAGAAGCACCGGCUAACUCCGUGCCAGCAGCCGCGGUAAUACGGAGGGUGCAAGCGUGAAUCGGAAUUACUGGGCGUAAAGCGCGCGUAGGCGGCUAGAUCAGUCGGGUGUGAAAGCCCCGGGCUUAACCUGGGAACUGCAUCCGAUACUGUCUAGCUUGAGUACAGGAGAGGAGAGUGGAAUUCCACAUGUAGCGGUGAAAUGCGUAGAUAUGUGGAGGAACACCAAUGGCGAAGGCAGCUCUCUGGCCUGAUACUGACGCUGAAGUGCGAAAGCGUGGGGAGCAAACAGGAUUAGAUACCCCCGUAGUC